GUCACGGGCCGCACCAGCCUGAACAUGCCCGAUACCGUCUGUCUCGCAAGCUAAUUAGGGUCCGGCCUGGUUAGUACUUGGUUGGGUUAGUACUUUGGUGGGAAACCACCUGGGAAUCCCAGGUGCUAUAGACU
rfam:Equus caballus chromosome 16, whole genome shotgun sequence.